rnacentral:rRNA from 1 species
AUUGAACGCUGGCGGCAUGCUUUACACAUGCAAGUCGAACGGUAACAGGUUAAGCUGACGAGUGGCGAGCGGGUGAGUAAUGCAUCGGAACGUGCCCGGUCGUGGGGGAUAACGCAGCGAAAGCUGCGCUAAUACCGCAUACGAUCUGAGGAUGAAAGCGGGGGACCGUAAGGCCUCGCGCGAUCGGAGCGGCCGAUGUCAGAUUAGGUAGUUGGUGGGGUAAAGGCUCACCAAGCCAACGAUCUGUAGCUGGUCUGAGAGGACGACCAGCCACACUGGGACUGAGACACGGCCCAGACUCCUACGGGAGGCAGCAGUGGGGAAUUUUGGACAAUGGGCGAAAGCCUGAUCCAGCAAUGCUGCGUGCAGGAAAAAGGCCUUCGGGUUGUAAACUGCUUUUGUACGGAGCGAAAAGGUCUCCUCUAAUACAGGGGGCUCAUGACGGUACCGUAAGAAUAAGCACCGGCUAACUACGUGCCAGCCGCCGCAGUAA